rnacentral:snRNA from 1 species
GUGAUUCAAAACAUAUGAAGACAUCCAAUAAAAUUGGAAUGAUACAGAGAAGAUUAGCAUGGUCCCUGCGCAAAGAUGACACACAAACCAAGAAAUGGUCCAAAUUUUA